rnacentral:rRNA from 1 species
GACGAACGCUGGCGGCGUGCUUAACACAUGCAAGUCGAACGGAAAGGCCCUGCUUUUGUGGGGUGCUCGAGUGGCGAACGGGUGAGUAACACGUGAGUAACCUGCCCUUGACUUUGGGAUAACUUCAGGAAACUGGGGCUAAUACCGGAUAGGAGCUCCUGCUGCAUGGUGGGGGUUGGAAAGUUUCGGCGGUUGGGGAUGGACUCGCGGCUUAUCAGCUUGUUGGUGGGGUAGUGGCUUACCAAGGCUUUGACGGGUAGCCGGCCUGAGAGGGUGACCGGCCACAUUGGGACUGAGAGACGGCCCAGACUCCUACGGGAGGCAGCAGUGGGGAAUAUUGCACAAUGGACGGAAGCCUGAUGCAGCAACGCCGCGUGCGGGAUGACGGCCUUCGGGUUGUAAACCGCUUUCGCCUGUGACGAAGCGUGAGUGACGGUAAUGGGUAAAGAAGCACCGGCUAACUACGUG